CGCGUAGGCGGGAUGGCAAGUCGGUCGUGAAAUCCUUCGGCUCAACCGAAGAACGUCGAUCGAUACUGCUGUUCUUGAGGGUUGCAGAGGAGACUGGAAUUCCCGGUGUAGCGGUGAAAUGUGUAGAGAUCGGGAGGAACACCGGUGGCGAAGGCGGGUCUCUGGGCAACUCCUGACGCUGAGGCGCGAAAGCGUGGGGAGCAAACGGGAUUAGAUACCCCGGUAGUCCACGCUGUAAACGAUGACGACUAGGUGUGGGGGGGCUCAGUCCCUUCCGUGCCGCAGCUAACGCAUUAAGUCGUCCGCCUGGGGAGUACGGCCGCAAGGUUGAA
rnacentral:rRNA from 1 species